ensembl:rRNA 5S_rRNA 5S ribosomal RNA
GUCUACAGCCAUGGUAUCCUGAACAAGCCUGAUCUCGUCUAAGUCUUGGAAGCUAAGCAAGAUCGGGCCUGGUUAGGACUUGGAUGGGAGACCACCUAGGAAUACCAGGUGCUAUAGGUA